rnacentral:rRNA from 1 species
CGUGUAGGCGGGAAUACAAGUCAGAUGUGAAAUACCGAGGCUUAACUUCGGGGCUGCAUCUGAAACUGUAUUUCUUGAGUGCUGGAGAGGAAAGCGGAAUUCCUAGUGUAGCGGUGAAAUGCGUAGAGAUUAGGAGGAACACCAGUGGCGAAGGCGGCUUUCUGGACAGUAACUGACGCUGAGGCGCGAAAGCGUGGGGAGCAAACAGGAUUAGAUACCCUGGUAGUCCACGCUGUAAACGAUGGAUACUAGGUGUAGGAGGUAUCGACCCUUCUGUGCCGGAGUUAACACAAUAAGUAUCCCACCUGGGGAGUACGGCCGCAAGGUUGAA